rnacentral:rRNA from 1 species
UACGGAGGGUGCGAGCGUUGUCCGGAAUCAUUGGGCGUAAAGGGCGCGUAGGUGGCCCGGUCAGUCCGUGGUGAAAGCGCGGGGCUCAACCCUGCGUCGGCCAUGGAUACUGCUGCGGCUGGAGCACUGUAGAGGCAGGCGGAAUUCCGGGUGUAGCGGUGGAAUGCGUAGAGAUCCGGAAGAACACCGGUGGCGAAGGCGGCCUGCUGGGCAGUAGCCGAAAGGCUUUCAAGCUGACACUGAGGCGCGACAGCGUGGGGAGCAAACAGG